rnacentral:lncRNA from 1 species
CCUCCGCGACAUUCAUUUUUAUGUAGAUCCUUCCAUCACCAAUACACCUAUGGAGGUGAAAUCUGGAAUCAAAUCUCCAACAACCUCCGUCAACGAAGACGAAAAAUCAACCAGAAACGGCGAGGGCGAGUCCUCCGUCAACGAGAACAAUAACGAAAGUGGGGACAAGUGAAUUCGGAGACAAUCGGAAUCAGCAGUUGCAAGCAAUUGGAAUCGAAUGGAACCGCAACUUUAAAACGCAGCAAUAGGUAGAAAACAAAAAGGCAAUCACAAUUGAAUUGGAACAACAAUAUGAACACGGCAGUAGCAAGGAAUGAAUUUGAACACCAAUUCAAAGCAGCAGUAGUAAUACCACACAUAAUAGCAAUUCACGCUUUGAAUAAUAAAUAGGUGCAGCAAGGAAUGAAAAUUAUUAGAAGAUAGUGAGUUUAGGCAUGUGUUGUUUCAAUGGAAGAUUGUUGUUUGCAUGGUGUUCUUGUUGAUUGAUAGCAUUAAUUUGCUGGAAAACACGUUAGAUAGGUGAACUUGGAGAAAUAAUCAUGAUUGUGAAUUCUCCAAAAGACUUACCGGUUGCUGAAGUCCGAGUCCAACAUCCCUUUGAAUUAUUUCAUGUUGAAUAAAAUUGUUCUAUUGAGAAGAAGAAUCCGAAGAAUGUUGAUGAAGAAUUGGAAUUGGUGAAAGUGAAUUAUAGUGAAGGUGUAGAGAUGAAGAUCUAAGAUGAAGAUGAUGAGGGCAUUUUUGUCUAUUCUCAUGCCAUUUUGUUAAUUUGAUGACGUGACAGUAAUUAACUGGGCUCAGGGAC